AGGAGGAAGAGGAGGAAGAGGAAGAGGAGGGAUUUCACGUUGCUGUCAAACUGUCAUGGCGGCGCCCUGUGUCUUAUAGAAGAAGUCUUGUUUUUUAUUUAUAUAUUUUUAGUGUUAAGUGUGAAUUGUGCCCCUCAGCCUGGUUGAAUUCGGGUUUAAUAAUGCCUCGUUACGAGUUGUCUCUGGUGCUGAAGGCCAUGCAGAGGCCGGAGACGGCGGCCGUGCUGAGGCGCACGGUGGAGACCUUGAUGGAACGCGGCGCCGUGGUGAGAGACCUGGAGAGUCUCGGUGAGAGGCGACUGCCGUACACGAUCAGCAAGCACAGCCAGCGGCACACGCGAGCCUCCUACUUCCUCGUCGACUUUCACGCCUCCCCGUCGAUCCUAAGCCCCUUGCUGAACCACCUGGAGAGGGACGUGGACGUGGUGCGGCAGACGGUGUUAAAGAAGGACACAGAGCUUCCAAAAUCUCCGUGCUGCGCCUCUUCUUCACCUUCUCACACUGACCAGAGGACUUCUGCAUGAACGUUUAUAAGGAAGAAGAUUCGCUGCUGGGCUCUGCUGCAUUAUAGGCGUGUUUGUGUGAGAGUUUAUUAUGUUUUGUUUUUUAUCUUACAAAAUGUACAUGUACAUAAAAAUUAAAAACCUGAGCGAUUUACUGAAUAAAGGAGAAAGAAAACAUGCAAUAAUUUACCUUGUAAAUGAUUAGAUUGAAGCCCUGAGUCUGAUCAGGUUUGAAUGAUUGUUUCCGUAGUAAAACCAUCAACACGAAUCACAGCUCUGAUGAAAUAUUGUGUGUGUGUGUGUGUGUGUGUGUGUGUGUGUGUGUGUGUGUGUGAGCAGAGAAUGUGUCUUUUUAAAUUGUUCUCGAUUGGACCUGUUUUGGUUUUCUGAAAAUGAUUUUAUGCCUGAGACACUAUUCAGAUUGUACAGAAGGCUUUUUUUUAACGAUCUUUAUUCUGUAUGUUUUGGGUCAUUAUCCUUUAGAAAGUGUCAUUAACUACAACUGAGGAUGAGCUUUUUGACACCCAGGGCAGAACGUUUCAUUUCAGAAUGGCUGGGUUUAUUUGGAAAUCUGCUGUAAAUGUUCAGCAUGGUUGCCAUGUUUACUCACUGAAUUGAACAAGAUUAACUUAAACAGUAAGCUCAUCAUAAAUAAAAGUAAAACCUCUUAAAGAAUACCUUCAUGGUGCUUUCACGUCACAUGCAGCUUGAUCAAACACAUGUAUCUGUUAAACCCAUUUACACUGAUCAAGUUGACGGCUUUUUGUACAUACGUGAUGACUGCUGUGUGAAAGCUUCUUUUAGAUUUUAGAAGAACAUGCAUUUUACUCAAAUUAUAUAUUUCCAUGCUGCUUGCAGAGUCAACAAAGUAUAUUUGUUAAACUA